UACAGAGGUCUCAAGCGUUGUUCGGAUUCACUGGGCUUAAAGGGCGCGUAGGCGGGCUGCCAAGUCCGGGGUGAAAGCCCCCCGCUCAACGGGGGAACGGCCUUGGAUACUGGCGGACUGGAGGAAGGUAGGGGCAGAUGGAACUCUCGGUGGAGCGGUGAAAUGCGUAGAUAUCGGGAGGAACGCCGGUGGCGAAAGCGAUCUGCUGGACCUUUUCUGACGCUGAGGCGCGAAAGCCAGGGGAGCAUACGGG
rnacentral:rRNA from 1 species